AUUGAACGCUGGCGGCAGGCCUAACACAUGCAAGUCGAGCGGAUGAAGGGAGCUUGCUCCUGGAUUCAGCGGCGGACGGGUGAGUAAUGCCUAGGAAUCUGCCUGGUAGUGGGGGAUAACGUCCGGAAACGGGCGCUAAUACCGCAUACGUCCCGAGGGAGAAAGUGGGGGAUCUUCGGACCUCACGCUAUCAGAUGAGCCUAGGUCGGAUUAGCUAGUUGGUGGGGUAAAGGCCUACCAAGGCGACGAUCCGUAACUGGUCUGAGAGGAUGAUCAGUCACACUGGAACUGAGACACGGUCCAGACUCCUACGGGAGGCAGCAGUGGGGAAUAUUGGACAAUGGGCGAAAGCCUGAUCCAGCCAUGCCGCGUGUGUGAAGAAGGUCUUCAGAUUGUAAAGCACUUUAAGUUGGGAGGAAGGGCAGUAAGUUAAUACCUUGCUGUUUUGACGUUACCAACAGAAUAAGCACCGGCUAACUUCGUG
rnacentral:rRNA from 1 species